UAGAGCCAGAUAGAGUAGAGCCAGAUAGAAUAGAGCCAGAUAGAAUAGUCAUAUGGAAAGAGACAGAUAGAGUAGAGACAGAUAGAGUAGAGACAGAUAGAAUAGUCAUAUGGAAAGAGACAGAUAGAAUAGUCAUAUGGAAAGAGACAGAUAGAGUAGAGACAAAGACAGAUAGAAUUCAGCCAGAUCGAAUAGAGCCAGAUAGAGUAGAGCCAGAUGGAGUAGAGCCAGAUAGAGUGGAUACAGAUGGAAUAGAGCCAGAUAGAGUAGAG
ensembl:lncRNA